GAGUCUUGUAGAGGGGGGUAGAAUUCCAGGUGUAGCGGUGAAAUGCGUAGAGAUCUGGAGGAAUACCGGUGGCGAAGGCGGCCCCCUGGACAAAGACUGACGCUCAGGUGCGAAAGCGUGGGGAGCAAACAGGAUUAGAUACCCUGGUAGUCCACGCCGUAAACGAUGUCGAUUUGGAGGUUGUGCCCUUGAGGCGUGGCUUCCGGAGCUAACGCGUUAAAUCGACCGCCUGGGGAGUACGGCCGCAAGGUUAAAACUCAAAUGAAUUGACGGGGGCCCGCACAAGCGGUGGAGCAUGUGGUUUAAUUCGAUGCAACGCGAAGAACCUUACCUGGUCUUGACAUCCACAGAACUUUCCAGAGAUGGAUUGGUGCCUUCGGGAACUGUGAGACAGGUGCUGCAUGGCUGUCGUCAGCUCGUGUUGUGAAAUGUUGGGUUAAGUCCCGCAACGAGCGCAACCCUUAUCCUUUGUUGCCAGCGGUUAGGCCGGGAACUCAAAGGAGACUGCCAGUGAUAAACUGGAGGAAGGUGGGGAUGACGUCAAGUCAUCAUGGCCCUUACGACCAGGGCUACACACGUGCUACAAUGGCGCAUACAAAGAGAAGCGACCUCGCGAGAGCAAGCGGACCUCAUAAAGUGCGUCGUAGUCCGGAUUGGAGUCUGCAACUCGACUCCAUGAAGUCGGAAUCGCUAGUAAUCGUAGAUCAGAAUGCUACGGUGAAUACGUUCCCGGGCCUUGUACACACCGCCCGUCACACCAUGGGAGUGGGUUGCAAAAGAAGUAGGUAGCUUAACCUUCGGGAGGGCGCUUACCACUUUGUGAUUCAUGACUGGGGUGAAGUCGUAACAAGGUAACCGUAGGGGAACCUGCGGUUGGAUCACCUCCUUACCUUAAAGAA
rnacentral:rRNA from 1 species